rnacentral:lncRNA from 1 species
CCGUCUCUCCGGGGUCGAACCUCCCAGACCUCAGUUGGACAGUCGCCCGGAGGUCCAUGGGAGAUGCCGCGGGCGCAACGCCUCUGACCCGCCCUUAACCCCGUUCCCCCCAGUGAUGUCACUCAGGAAGCGACUCGUCCCCAGAAGCCCCGGCACCGGGACCUUCCGUCAUUGGCCGGGAAUCCCAGGAAUCCUCCCCAUCUGUGGGACCCGGCCAGCCUAGGAGGGAGGGCCAGUGGUCGAGCGAACCCAGCGAGGGGCCCAGAAAAGAGAAGGCCGAGGAGGAGGAAGGCCACGCCGCUCCUCGGCGUUCCUCUGCCUCUACGGAUGCCGACCGGGAAUUUCGAAUGGAACGAGACCGUCGUCCGGAGGAUACCCUCAGACAGAGGACCAGA